CUAUCUAAUUAGUGUCACUCUCAACUUUAGUGUAAAUUGCAGUUCAUUCAAGUUGUAAAACUGCCGAGCCCAAACCAUUCAUCAUGAUUAAGAGGCAGAGUAUUAUUUCGCGUUCGAAGUUCAACUUUAAGCACCAGUUAAAAGCGAUAAACUUCGCCGAUGAUCCCAAAGUAGAAACAGCCUAUUCAAGCACGCGUAGCUAACAGGUCUUUGGAGGAAUUGAAAUCAUAAAAAUCUGCAUUCAGCACGUUUAAAAUUUACGUUAUUUCUUCAAUGACUGAUAUCGAAUAUUAGAUCAAAGCUUCCAGAUUACCGGGUGCAUGUGCAAAUGAGGGCUAUUAGAAAAAGCAUGCACCGCAAGAAGGCAGUCGCGCUGCAUGAAAGAUCACAGGCGCAGCAUGUUCGACGGAGUCAAUGGAGUUUUCAUCAAACCAAUCAGCAGAGGUGCUAAAGAGGAGGAUGCUGAAGAUUUUCAAGGGACAGUGGAAAGAUGCAGUAGGACUAUUACUUCAUCUGACUGCCGGUGUGACAGAUUUCGCCACUGCAAAUUUCCACGAGACUAAACGACCAACCAAACUGACAGAUGAGGUGAUUGGACUUUGGCCUCAUUCUGAU